rnacentral:rRNA from 1 species
GGGUCAGUAGGUUGGUCGUGCCACCGGUACGUACUGGUCUCACUGAUUCCUCCUUCCUGAAGAACCGUAAUGCCAUUAAUUUGGUGUUGCGGGGAAACAGGACUGUUACUUUGAAAAAAUUAGAGUGUUUAAAGCAAGCUAACGCUUGAAUACAUUAGCAUGGAAUAGUGAAAUGGGACGAUCGAUCCUAUUUUGUUGGUUUCUAGGAUUGACGUA